rnacentral:rRNA from 1 species
CCACUGCUGACGGACUCUGCCCUAUGGGCGGGCAGAGCCUGAAUAAUGCAUGCUUUAUCGGGUGAGUGGCGGCCAUAGAGGUGGGCGCGGGUGGGGAAUUAAGUUUCUAAGCCGGCGGGCAUGCACGUGGAGUAUGGAGUGCUGAACCGACCGACCCUUACCUUCGUCCAUAGUAGCUCCGGCUCAAACUCUAUGAAGAUGACCAGUUCUAAAGACUCGGACUUUACGCGCUCAUGACUGCAUCCUUAUUAUACUUGUACCUCUCGUUCUCCUUCGGUGGGGCAACCUGCCGCUGGAAUUUUACAAAACCCUUUUUUGCAUCUAGCAUUACCUGUUCUGAUAAAAACAAUUGUUACAACUUUCAACAAUGGAUCUCUUGGCUCUGGCAUCGAUGAAGAACGCAGCGAAAUGCGAUAAGUAGUGUGAAUUGCAGAAUUCAGUGAAUCAUCGAAUCUUUGAACGCACAUUGCGCCCCUUGGUAUUCCAUGGGGCAUGCCUGUUCGAGCGUCAUCUACACCCUCAAGCUCUGCUUGGUGUUGGGCGUCUGUCCCGCCUUUGCGCGUGGACUCGCCCCAAAUUCAUUGGCAGCGGUCUCCGCCUCCUCUCGCGCAGCACAUUGCGCUUCUUGAGGUGCUGCGGCCCGCGUCCAGCAAGCAAUUUACCGUCUUUGACCUCGGAUCAGGUAGGGAUACCCGCUGAACUUAAGCAUAU